GAUGAACGCUGGCGGCGUGCCUAAUACAUGCAAGUCGAGCGAACAGACGAGGAUCUUGCUCCUCUGGCGUUAGCGGCGGACGGGUGAGUAACACGUGGAUAACCUACCUAUAAGACUGGGAUAACUUCGGGAAACCGGAGCUAAUACCGGAUAAUAUAUUGAACCGCAUGGUUCAAUAGUGAAAGACGGUUUUGCUGUCACUUAUAGAUGUAUCCGCGCCGCAUUAGCUAGUUGGUAAGGUAACGGCUUACCAAGGCAACGAUGCGUAGCCGACCUGAGAGGGUGAUCGGCCACACUGGAACUGAGACACGGUCCAGACUCCUACGGGAGGCAGCAGUAGGGAAUCUUCCGCAAUGGGCGAAAGCCUGACGGAGCAACGGCGCGUGAGUGAUGAAGGUCUUCGGAUCGUAAAACUCUGUUAUUAGGGAAGAACAAAUGUGUAAGUAACUAUGCACGUCUUGACGGUACCUAAUCAGAAAGCCACGGCUAACUACGUG
rnacentral:rRNA from 1 species